CAGCAGUCUGUGUGUGUGUAUUUACUCAGCAGUCUGUGAGUGUGUAUGGACUCGGCAGUCUGUGUGUGUGUAUGGACUCGGCAGUGUGUGUGUCUGUAUGGACUCGGCAGUAUGUGUAUGGACUUGGCAGUCUGUGUGUGUGUGUAUGGACUUGGCAGUCUGUGUGUGUGUGCAUGGACUCGGCAGUCUGUGUGUGUGUGCAUGGACUCGGCAGUCUGUGUGUGUGUGCAUGGACUCGGCAGUCUGUGUGUGUGUGUGCAUGGACUCGGCAGUCUGUGUGUGUGUGUGCAUGGACUCGGCAGUCUGUGUG